rnacentral:tRNA from 1 species
GGUUGUGGCUCAGUGGUAGGAUACUCACCUAGUAUGUGUGAGGUGCUGGGUUCGAUCCUCAACACCA